rnacentral:rRNA from 1 species
AGCGAACGUUUGCGGCGGGCUUAACACAUGCAAGUCGAACGGGCUGUUCCUUCGGGGGCAGUCAGUGGCGCACGGGUGCGUAACACGUAGGUAAUCAACCCUCUGGUUGGGGAUAACACUUCGAAAGGAGUGCUAAUACCCGGUAUGGCGCAGCGGUCUUCGGAUCGCGGCGAGAAAGACCCGCAAGGGUUGCCAGAGGACGAGCCUGCGGCCCAUCAGCUAGUUGGCGAGGUAACGGCUCACCAAGGCGAAGACGGGUAGCUGGUCUGAGAGGAUGAUCAGCCACACUGGAACUGAGACACGGUCCAGACUCCUACGGGAGGCAGCAGUGGGGAAUAUUGCGCAAUGGGCGAAAGCCUGACGCAGCCACGCCGCGUGGGUGAUGAAGGCCC